GGGGCUGACUUGGAUUUCGACAGAUUUCUUGUCGCACAGAUAGCAUGCCAAGCGCUACUUGUAAAACAGCAACAAAAAUAACUGUAAACAACGCAGAUUACGCUCCAGCUUACGCUAAAGCUGCGUGAGUUAAUCUCCUUUUGGAGCUGGACUGAUUAGAAUUUCUAGCGUUUUAAUCACUCCAUAACCUUAAGCUAGACGCUUUUAAAAGGUGGUUCGCCUUUUAAACUAAGAAACAAGAACUCUUGAAACUACCUCAAGGUUUUAGAAAGUUGGACCAGAGCUAGUUUUAAGGCUAAAAACUAACCAAUUUUCUAAGCAUUGUAGAAGUUUGUGUUUAGGGCAAGAUUUUUGGACUGGGGUUCGAUUCCCCACAGCUCCACCA
rnacentral:tmRNA from 1 species